rnacentral:rRNA from 1 species
ACCAGAAUGAAUGGCUAAAUGAAGACUAAACUGUCUCUUGCGGACAAGCCAAUGAAAUUGAUUUUCCAGUACAAAAGCUGAAAUAAACCCAUAAGACGAGAAGACCCUGUGGAGCUUUUAAACCAAAACCACCAAGCAUGUCCUCAGGUUUUUAGUUGGGGCGACUUCGGAGCAUAAAAAAACCUCCAAAACAUGAACUUAUCAAGACCAACAUAUCAAAAAUAGUAUCAUAAGAUCCAGCAACCGCCCGUUGACUGAUUAAUGAACCAAGUUACCCCAGGGAUAACAGCGCCAUCCCCUUCUAGAGUCCUUAUCAACAAGGGGGCUUACGACCUCGAUGUUGGAUCAGGACACCCCAAUGGUGCAGCCGCCAUUAAAG